rnacentral:rRNA from 1 species
UCAGAUUGAACGCUGGCGGCGAGGCCUAACACAUGCAAGUCGAGCGGGUUUCGGACCUAGCGGCGGACGGGUGAGUAAUGCGUAGGAAGCUACCCGACAGAGGGGGAUACCAGUUGGAAACGACUGUUAAUACCGCAUAAUGUCUACGGACCAAAGUGUGGGACCUUCGGGCCACAUGCUAUCGGAUGCGCCUACGUGGGAUUAGCUAGUUGGUGGGGGUAAUGGCUCACCAAGGCGACGAUCCCUAGCUGGUUUGAGAGGAUGAUCAGCCACACUGGAACUGAGACACGGUCCAGACUCCUACGGGAGGCAGCAGUGGGGAAUAUUGGACAAUGGGCGCAAGCCUGAUCCAGCCAUGCCGCGUGUGUGAAGAAGGCCUUCGGGUUGUAAAGCACUUUCAGCGAGGAGGAAGGGAGUUGUGUUAAUAGCACAGCUUCUUGACGUUACUCGCAGAAGAAGCACCGGCUAACUCUGUG